rnacentral:rRNA from 1 species
GAAUCUGGCUUCAGGUUCGGGAUAACAGUUGGAAACGACUGCUAAUACCGGAUANGCCUAAGGGUAAAAGAUUAAUUGCCUGAAGAUGAGCUCGCGUCCGAUUAGCUAGUUGGUGUGGUAAAGGCGCACCAAGGCGGCGAUCGGUAGCUGGUCUGAGAGGAUGAUCAGCCACACUGGGACUGAGACACGGCCCAGACUCCUACGGGAGGCAGCAGUGGGGAAUUUUCCGCAAUGGGCGAAAGCCUGACGGAGCAAUACCGCGUGAGGGNGGAAGGCUCUUGGGUUGUAAACCUCUUUUCUCAAGGAAGAAUUGUGACGGUACUUGAGGAAUCAGCAUCGGCUAACUCCGUGCCNGCAGCCGCGGUAAUACGGAGGAUGCAAGCGUUAUCCGGAAUGAUUGGGCGUAAAGCGUUCGUAGGUGGCUCAUCAAGUCGGCUGUUAAAGAGUCUGGCUUAACCAGAUAANGGCAGUGGAAACUGAAGAGCUAGAGUAUGGUAGGGGUAGAGGGAAUUCCUGGUGUAGCGGUGAAAUGCGUAGAGAUCAGGAAGAACACC